rnacentral:rRNA from 1 species
GACGAACGCUGGCGGCGUGCUUAACACAUGCAAGUCGAACGGAAAGACCCUGCUUUUGUGGGGUGCUCGAGUGGCGAACGGGUGAGUAACACGUGAGUAACCUGCCCUUGACUUUGGGAUAACUUCAGGAAACUGGGGCUAAUACCGGAUAGGAGCUCCUGCUGCAUGGUGGGGGUUGGAAAGUUUCGGCGGUUGGGGAUGGACUCGCGGCUUAUCAGCUUGUUGGUGGGGUAGUGGCUUACCAAGGCUUUGACGGGUAGCCGGCCUGAGAGGGUGACCGGCAACAGGGGGGCGAGACUGCGCCCCCGACGCCUGGGGGAGGCAGCGGGGGGGAAUAUUCAACAGGGGGAGGAAGCCUGCAGCGGCACCGCGGGGGGGGGGAUGGCGGCCUUGGGGUUGAAAACUGUUUCUGCGGGUGAAGAGGCGUGGGUGAGGUAAAUGGUGAAGAAACCCCGGGUAACUACGGG